rnacentral:tRNA from 1 species
GGAAACUUAGGAUUAAUGUAAACCGAAGGCCUUCAAAGCCUUAAACAAGAGUGAAACCCUCUUAGUUUCUG